ACUCCUACGGGAGGCAGCAGUGGGGAAUUUUGGACAAUGGGGGAAACCCUGAUCCAGCCAUGCCGCGUGAGUGAAGAAGGCCUUCGGGUUGUAAAGCUCUUUCAGCCGGAACGAAAAGGUUACGGUUAAUACCCGUGACUAAUGACGGUACCGGAAGAAGAAGCACCGGCUAACUACGUGCCAGCAGCCGCGGUAAU
rnacentral:rRNA from 1 species